AACACACUUGACCAGAAUAUACUAGCAAACAUUGAUGAUCUCUUUGAAUACUUAGACACUCUCACUAAGUUUCUUCUCUCUUAUAUCCCAAAAAUAGCCUCUCUCUUUUUCUCCUUACACAAGAAAACAAUCAUUUUCAUAGUGUGGAAUCUAGCUAGUUUUGGAUAUAUAUUACUACAAUUUCUAAUGGAUGACAAAAGAAAGACAAGUUCAAGCAACCACAAGACAUUUUUCUCAAGGAGUUCUUCAACAAGAAGCUCUACUUCAAAUUCAAACACUUCACUCCUAAGGAGUUCUUCAUCUUCCUCCAAAUGCAAUCUUCCAAGAAGCUUUUCACAGAAGAACUCUUCUUCUUCUUCUUCUUCUAUAGGUCACAAAUGCACCAAUCUAGCUAAGGAACAAAAAGCAAGAUUCUACAUAAUGAGAAGGUGUGUUGCCAUGUUAGUUUGUUGGCAUAAACAUGGAGAUUAG